rnacentral:rRNA from 1 species
UACGAAGGGGGCUAGCGUUGCUCGGAAUCACUGGGCGUAAAGGGUGCGUAGGCGGGUCUUUAAGUCAGGGGUGAAAUCCUGGAGCUCAACUCCAGAACUGCCCUUGAUACUGAGGAUCUUGAGUACGGGAGAGGUGAGUGGAACUGCGAGUGUAGAGGUGAAAUUCGUAGAUAUUCGCAAGAACACCAGUGGCGAAGGCGGCUCACUGGCCCGUUACUGACGCUGGGGCACGAAAGCGUGGGGAGCAAACAGG